rnacentral:lncRNA from 1 species
UUGCUCUGUAAUGGCCGUGAGCGGCGACCGUAUUUAGAUCGGCGAGAUUUUCGCGUGAUUUUAAAGGUAUUUUUACCCCAAAGUUACUCGAAAGAUGCGUCGUGUUUCUAGGCGUAGGAAACGGGGUUACCGGCCGUUACUCCCGUCAAACUCUCAUAUGUUUAUGACGUAGAAAAUAAAUGGAGUACAUGCGAUUGCUCUGUAAUGGCCGUGAGCGGCGAGCGUAUUUAGAUCGGCGAGAUUUUCGCGUGAUUUUAAAGCUAUUUUUACCCCAAAGUUACUCGAAAGUUGCGUCGUGUUUCUAGGCG